GACGAACGCUGGCGGCGUGCUUAACACAUGCCAGUCGAACGGUGAAGGGGUCUGCUUUUGUGGGCCCUGGAUGAGUGGCGAACGGGUGAGUAACACGUGAGUAACCUGCCCCCUUCUUCUGGAUAACCGCAUGAAAGUGUGGCUAAUACGGGAUAUUCUGGGUCUGUCGCAUGAUGGGUCUGGGAAAGAUUGCGCCUUUGGGUGUUUUUGGUGGGGGAUGGGCUCGCGGCCUAUCAGCUUGUUGGUGGGGUGAUGGCCUACCAAGGCGGUGACGGGUAGCCGGCCUGAGAGGGUGGACGGUCACACUGGGACUGAGACACGGCCCAGACUCCUACGGGAGGCAGCAGUGGGGAAUAUUGCACAAUGGGCGCAAGCCUGAUGCAGCGACGCCGCGUGAGGGAGGGAGGCCUUCGGGUUGUAAACCUCUUUCGCCAGUGAAGCAGGCCUGCUCCUUGUGGGUGGGUUGACGGUAGCUGGAUAAGAAGCGCCAGCUAACUACGUG
rnacentral:rRNA from 1 species